rnacentral:lncRNA from 1 species
CCUGGGGUCACCCCUGCCCUGCCGCAGGCCAGUAGGGGGCCGGCCCCCACUCCUCAGCCCGGGAGACACUCCAUGUGGCACCGCCCUUCUUGCUGGGGGUGGGGGGGUGUGCAGGACCCUACUACUGAACUCCAGUUUUGAUUUUGUGACUUUUGAAAAAACACAGGGACUCGUGGGAGCACGUGAGGAUCCCAGGACCCCCACCCUCGGGGACAGGCCCUCCCUGUGUCUUCCUGUCUCCAGGAAGGAGGGGCAGCCCCCCAUCACUGGAAGUCAUCUGCAGUGGGGGCUGCUGUGGGUGGAGAGAACACUACGAAAGGUGUGUGUCUGUCUGCGUGCGUGUGCUCACGGGUGUGCAUGUGUGUGCGCGUGUGCAUGUGCGGAAGGUCCAUCCGCUCUGUCCUCCAGCCUGCGAGUGGGUAUCGCUGAGACCUUACCUAGCAUACAGCGCAGCCCCCUGUCCCCGCCUGAGCCAUUGUGGGGGCGGUCAUGAAUGUCUGAAGAGUGGCCUUUUCCCCAAGUCCUGCACCCCCUUUCUGUGGCUGGAUGGGGAGACGGGGGUCAGGGCUUCCUGCCCGUCCCCAGCCUCUGCAGAAGACGACUACUGCGCCUGGACAGCCUCCUCUUUUCUAGAAGUCUAUUUAUAUUGUCAUUUUAUAACACUCUAGCCCCUGUCCCGACCUGGGGACGGAUGGCCCCUGUCCUAAGGGGCAGCGUCAGGGACAGAACCACCACUUGAAGAAUCAGGUUCCUGUCCCCUUGGAGCCGCCCCAUCCUCCCC